rnacentral:rRNA from 1 species
AGACAGGUGGUGCAUGGUUGUCGUCAGCUCGUGUCGUGAGAUGUUGGGUUAAGUCCCGCAACGAGCGCAACCCUUGUGUUUAGUUGCAGACAGGUCAAGCUGUGCACUCUAGACAGACUGCCGUGGACAACACGGAGGAAGGUGGGGAUGACGUCAAAUCAUCAUGCCCCUUAUGAUCUGGGCUACACACGUGCUACAAUGGUCGGUACAAAGGGUUGCCAAGCCGCGAGGUGGAGCUAAUCCCAUAAAACCGAUCGUAGUCCGGAUCGCAGUCUGCAACUCGACUGCGUGAAGUCGGAAUCGCUAGUAAUCGUGAAUCAGAAUGUCACGGUGAAUACGUUCCCGGGCCUU